rnacentral:lncRNA from 1 species
AUGGUUACCAAUUUAGAACUGGAGAAUCUGAUCUUAUAUUUUACUGGGAGGAGGAAGAAGUGGAGAAAGAGGGGAAGGGAAAAACAAAAGGGGAGAGGUAAACUUGAGAGGCUGUUAAAUAUACUUAGAUUAAGAAACUUAUCUUAUUGUAGAAAUGCGUGGCAUGGGAGAAAUGGGAAUUUGAGAGAUGCUCCGGUAAGAGAAGGCACCUAA